UACGUAGGGUGCAAGCGUUGUCCGGAAUUAUUGGGCGUAAAGAGCUCGUAGGCGGUUUGUCGCGUCGGCUGUGAAAACCCGAGGCUCAACCUCGGGCCUGCAGUCGAUACGGGCAAACUAGAGUGCGGUAGGGGAGACUGGAAUUCCCGGUGUAGCGGUGAAAUGCGCAGAUAUCAGGAGGAACACCGGCGGCGAAGGCGGGUCUCUGGGCCGUAACUGACGCUGAGGAGCGAAAGCGUGGGGAGCGAACAGG
rnacentral:rRNA from 1 species